ensembl:lncRNA PPIEL peptidylprolyl isomerase E like (pseudogene)
GGAAGCAAGAUGGCGGCCGCCGAGAGGGUUCACAAAGGGUAGGGUGGUGUGGAGCAAGGCAGGGUCCUCGCAGGCAGUGCCAAGAUUGAGCUGGGGGUGGGCAGAGUGGGCGGGGUGCGGACCCAUGGCCCUACGCAUCCUGGGCCAGGUCUCUUGUGGUGCUUCACGCUCUCGACCUGUGAGUGGUGCCUGCUAGAGCUGCCCAGAUCCCUUUUCCCUACCCCUUCUGACCCUGGACCCAGAGUGGUGGUUGCGAUCUGCUACCGUGACGUCAGCCCUCAUUCGUUCGUUCCACAAACUCCACAGCUCUGGUCCAUUAGAGGAAGGAGGUCCCAGAAUAGCUGGGAAAUUACGAGAACAGCCUCACUGCACGAGUUGGUGAAUGCUGUGAUGGCGAUUGUAUGAUGGACGGUGAUGUUGAAACCAGACUGGGGAAUGACCGCCCCAUCCGGAGAGAAAAGCACCAAGGAUUCUCUUUUGUUGAAUUUGAGUUGGCAGAGUUUGGUCAGAUGAAGACUGGGUGGAGAAGUUUGCUGGGAAGAGGAUAAAGAGGAAGGUGGUUGAGACUUCCCAAAGCAGAAAGCCAGGAGGGAGAGCCCACUGCUAAAAAAGGCCUAGUCAAAUCCUCAGGUGUACAUGGACAUCAAGAUUGGGAACAAGCCGGCUGGCUGCAUCCAAACCCUCCUGCGUUCCGACGUCGUGCCCAUGACCACAGAGAAUUUUCUCUACAUGUGCACCCAUUUAAAGGACUCGGCUUCAAGGGAAGCAGCUUCCACCGCAUUAUCCCCCAGUUCAUUUGCCAGGGCAGUGAUUUCACAAACCACGGUGGCACCAGGGGUCUGCGCAGGCAUGGCACUAAGUGUCCCAUGGCACAUUUGGCCCUCAUGGAGGCCUCAAAAGGGCAGGACCAGCACCCUCUUCUACGGAGGAAGGAACGGGCACAGCAGGUACAUGAUGUGGUCAAAUUAACAAGAGGCAGAGGCCGGAAACAAGGAGAGUCAGCAAUUACCAGCCAGCCAAGGUCCUGGAAGCUGACGUAGAGCUCGUGCCGACGGCAGACCUGCCGGCCGUGGGAGCCGCGGACGUCAUCUGCAGGGACAGAAGGGGCAAGGUCUUUUCUGGGGUUCCUGCUGUGUGCAGCUACUAUGGGGUACCAGGGUGGGGGAUGCCCUGAUGAGCACAUUUGUCAAAUAAAUGAAUGACAGGAAACCA